ACGGGUGAGUAACGCGUGGGAAUCUACCCAUCUCUACGGAACAACUCCGGGAAACUGGAGCUAAUACCGUAUACGUCCUUCGGGAGAAAGAUUUAUCGGAGAUGGAUGAGCCCGCGUUGGAUUAGCUAGUUGGUGGGGUAAUGGCCUACCAAGGCGACGAUCCAUAGCUGGUCUGAGAGGAUGAUCAGCCACACUGGGACUGAGACACGGCCCAGACUCCUACGGGAGGCAGCAGUGGGGAAUAUUGGACAAUGGGCGCAAGCCUGAUCCAGCCAUGCCGCGUGAGUGAUGAAGGCCCUAGGGUUGUAAAGCUCUUUCAACGGUGAAGAUAAUGACGGUAACCGUAGAAGAAGCCCCGGCUAACUUCGUGCCAGCAGCCGCGGUAAUACGAAGGGGGCUAGCGUUGUUCGGAAUUACUGGGCGUAAAGCGCACGUAGGCGGAUACUUAAGUCAGGGGUGAAAUCCCGGGGCUCAACCCCGGAACUGCCUUUGAUACUGGGUAUCUCGAGUCCGGAAGAGGUGAGUGGAAUUCCGAGUGUAGAGGUGAAAUUCGUAGG
rnacentral:rRNA from 1 species